rnacentral:rRNA from 1 species
CAUGGCCUUUUGAUAAUGAUUUAAGGUCUGGCCUGCCCAAUGAGGAGUUUAAUGGCCGCGAUAUUUUGAUCGUGCGAAGGUAGCAUAAUCAAUAGUUUUUUAAUUGAAAGCUGGUAUGAAUGGUUGGACGAGGGAAGAACUGUCUCAGGGAAAAUUAAGUUGAAUUUUAUUUUUAAGUGAGAAAGCUUAAAUGUAUCUUAAAGACGAGAAGACCCUAUAGAGUUUUAUAGGUUAUUAUUUUUUAUUUUUAAGGAUAUAAUAGUAAAGAGUUUUUAAUCUAUUUAGUUGGGGUGACGGGAAAAUAGGAUAAACUUUUCCUAAUUAUUUAUGUUAAUUUACAGGUUUUUGAUCCAGUUUUUCUGAUCAAAAGAUUAAAUUACCUUAGGGAUAACAGCGUUAUUUCUUUUGAGAGUUCUUAUUGAAAAAGAAGUUUGCGACCUCGAUGUUGGAUUAAGAUAAAUUUCUGGUGCAGAAGCUAGAAUAUUAAGUCUGUUCGACUUUUAAAAUCUUACAUGAUCUGAGU